UGCAGAUAGUAUAGCGUGCAGAGCAGCAAUGGGAUGUCUGAGCACAAGUGGCUGACUUCCAGGCGUCUUCAGGAAGCACAUUUGCACAUUUCUCCUGAAUUAAACUGGGAUUCUGCACCCUUGACAUCCUCCUACUCUCCUUGUCUCUGCAGAAGGCGACAGCGACCUGCACAGCACAACAAAACUACAAAUCUCCAGAGCUGCAGACAAGCAAAUGAAGUGAACUGAGGGCAAUUUGACCAACAUCAUCUGUGUCGAUUCCCCAGAAGUCGAUGAAACAAGUUAUCGGGUCUCCAAGAUGAGCAUCCAGGUGCCAGCUGGUGUAAACGCAGAUGCCACUGACGUCAAUGGAGCUGUGUCAGUUUACACUAGCUGAGAAUCUGAUCCCAAGUGCAUUAGUGCCAUUUUUAGACACUGCCACUGGAAUUCACUUUUGCAACACAAUUAAAGAUACAUACAUGCAUUGCAUUUUUUUUUCCUAUCCCCAAGUGUAUAACUGGAAGCCUGUUGACAGACUGUGGGAGAGGGCAAGUGGGAGGUAGAAGUGGCCAGCAACUGUAGCUAUGAGAUAACUUUGCAAUAUGAGUAUUAAUGCUAUUGUUCUGUUGUCUUCCUUUUAUAUAAAUAUUUGCCUACAAAAAGUCUUAACUCCACCUUCCAGUAACAAUUCAAUAACAGCAAAAGAAAAAAGAUGCUAUAAACCAUGCACAGUAUCUGUCACAAAUAUAUUAACAUACUAUUUUAAUCAGUGUACAAUCUGAAUAGACUGGUUUAAUGCAUUGUUAGGGAAGUUAACUAAAAUCAUAAGAAACCCCCCAAACUUGAGAUCUGUAUAUUCACCUAAGUAUUUGUUUCUGAGUGAGCUCACUGCUGUACAAGCAGUAAGAUUGUUAAAAGUAGUAAAACGUGAAGUAGCCUGCAAGCCAAACCUGACAUCUAUCAUUUAGAUCUCAUUGAUCAUAUAUGUGGGGGAGGGAAAAGGAAGAAAGGAAGAGGUGGGGCAAUAAGCAGUGCAGAGUAGUACCUCAGAGCUCCAGCCAUCAUUUCUAAGUAGGAAGAGGAAGCUUUUAUUAUUGUUUUACAUAUGGCAGCUGUUAAACAUGAGUGUACUAUGUAGCAGUUGCCAGUAUUAACCAGUACAAUGAAAUUGAACUUUAGUCUUGAAUCAAGCUAUCAAGGUCAAAAUGGAAAAGCUAAUUAGAAACAAAGAUGCAGUUCACAUAGCAUUGAAGUAAUUUUCUGUUUGUGCAGCACAACACCCAUAUCUUCAAUUUAGGUCAGGCCAUCAAGAGGAGGAAAAGAACUGAAGAUGAGAUGCUCUACUUCACACAGUUGCCCUCUGGAAGGACUGGCAAAGGCAGUCACUUAAAUUAAGUACAGGUCAUCAGACAAGAUAUCUAAUCUAUUCCUAAGACAAGCAGCUCUAGCAGUCCAAAUCCCUAUGGCCUUUACAGCGACACAACGAACUACUUCCUCAUGUACCUCUGUCAAUUCAUGUUAGGUUCCAAUUUUUUUAAAGUGAUAUUUCAUGUACACCAUGACCCUAUUGCUCAUAGCAAGGAAAGUGCUUUGGUUUAUUUAUGACCUACUAACCUUAAAUAAAAAACCAUACAUCCAAUCUGAAUGUUCACAUAAGCCUGCAGAUCUCAAAUAAAACUUAAAAUAAAGCUGGCAUUUGUAACAGCUAGCUAAGCCCAGUAAUGGAUUUAAAAAAAAAAAUGAAAACCAGAUGAGAGAAGAUGAAAGCAUUUUUACCCUGCAUAACCUGCACACAUCAGGAAUCAGGGCUGGAGCUCAGGAAUACUUUUUUUGUGCUUUUGUACUUACAAGUUUCAGCCCGUUUCAACAGAGGCUAGGUAUCCAGGGAAAUACUGAGGUUUUUCCAUUAUUGGGGGGUGGGGAGAGAAUAAUAACAACCUGUGAAAAUAAUUCCUUCUAAGAUGCAAUGCACCCAGCCGCAAGCUCUACAUAGCUCCUCUCCUUCCCUUACAUCCCAUCUGAACUGCCAGGUAUCAGCCAGGCAAGACCCCGUGUUGAAAUAUGAAGUGACAGAUGGAAGCAGGGAAUAAGAGCCUAGAAAUAAGUACUGAAAGAAAUGGCAUACAGAAAGAAAGCUUAUAAUAGGACGGAUGUUAAACAUGAGUGACCCUAAACCAUAAAGUCUAUUCAUUUGGCUAGAACAAUGUUGAACAGAUGCAGAUGCACAGAAGACUGAGUUGGAGAGCCUUAUUCUCUCAUCACUCAUGCUGGUGUAAGGAACUCAUUUUAUAACAUCCAUGGAAUUAAACUGUGGAAAGCCCGGUACAAAUAAAUGGCAAAAAUAAUAAUCAAACUUCAGACCUAAAGUAUUGGCAGGAAAUAUCCCCUGCUGCUGUAUCAGCAAAAAAAAAAAAAGUGUUGACUGCCACAUCUUGCUAGAAUUCAGGUAUAUUCAUAAUCACAAUGGCCUUCUUAAACAACACACAUCUGAUCUAUCAAAGGAGAAAAGUAGUUGAUUCCAUUCUUGUCUAGUUCCUCAAUAGGUUAUAUAAAUUACUCUGUCCUUUAGAUAUAUUUGAUAGAAAAUACAUUUGAGUUAAAUGAAGUAAUAACUACCACUAUAUGCAGAGGAAUUAGUUGAAAAACAGCUAGGACAAUGUCCUUGUCAUGCCAUUUGUUUAAAAAAUAUACGCAGGCAGCACACUUAGGACCUGCAGUCUUUAGGUGCUGGUUCCCUUUAUGCAAGUAAAAACUAAUUUAAGAAAAAAACCAACAUUUAUAAAGGUUUUUAAAAUAAUCAGAAAUGGAUGAGAGACUAUAAGACAACUUUUACCAAAGGACAAGGUAAACAGCAACUCAUAGAAGCCAAUGAAUCAGUCACAUAAUUUCAGUGCAGCAGAAAUGAGAAAAGAGUGGACCUAGCAAAAAAGAAUUCAGAUCAGCUGAGCUGCAAGAUCACCUUCUGCAGGAAAACUCUUCUCAGAAAUGCAAAUAAGAAAGAAGUUUGGAAAACUGCCUGCUCCUUGUACAGAGGCUGAAAUAGGAUAGGCAGAGAAAAGUGUUGGUGUCGACAUUUGAGGAUGCUGUCAAGUCAAUGGAGUUCUGUUGUAGUGGUUGCUUCAGUGAACAUUCAACGCUGUCGGCCUUAACACCGGAGAUAGCCAUCUAACCACCACAUGAUGUUUCUCCCUCACCCUGCCAAGCUUUACCAAAAAAGGUCACAAUCAACAUUCAUUGCUGUCGGUGGGUUUAACUAUGUGGACAAGCUCACUGAACAAUGAAUGCAACUGUGGCCCCACAUUUUACAGUUGCCAUUGAGAGGAACAUCAGCUCUGAAAGCAGUAGCAAGAAGCAAACUCUUCUUAUAGGCUACAUUUGUCUGGUAAAAAAAAUAGUUGGGGAUAUUGACUUUUUGCUUGCUUGUUUAAGUGUGUUUAACUUAACAGACUAGAAAAAAAAUUGCUGCCUUUUUCUGGAAUAUUGUCCUCCCAGGGUUCAGCAUCACUGAAAGCAUAAGAAUUCUUAUUCUGUGUGUAUGUGGAAGUAAAUAAUAAUACAGGGAAUUUUGUGUAUAUCCACUCCUAAGGACUCUGAGCAUAAUAGGAAAGAAUAUUUAAAUCUCAUUUUAACUAGUCAUUAUGGAAUGGGUCAAAAACUAUUCUAUAAUUGUCCUGACAAAUACAGAUGGGAGCCAGAGUUCAAAAAUACAGACAAAAUAUUAUAUCAAAUAAAAGAUUAAUUUUUCAUGAAAUUGAUUUUAAGCACCUAAAUACUAUUAGACGGCAAAUACUACAUUUGCCUUUUUUAGUGAUCUGAAAGAUGAUAAACAUAUAUCCAGUAAUAAUAAUGGAAUUGUAAAACUGUAAAAUUCUGUAAACUUUGGGUACCUAUGUCACACUCAGUAUUGCUGAAAGUAAUAAGAAAAUAAAAGUGUAAAUAAAGC